rnacentral:tRNA from 1 species
CCCUGGGUGGUGAAAUGGGUAAUGCAUUUGGUUGCUAACCAAAAGUGUGGAGGUUCGAGUCCACCCAGAGGCA